rnacentral:rRNA from 1 species
CCUACGGGGGGCAGCAGUGAGGAAUAUUGGUCAAUGGGCGGAAGCCUGAACCAGCCAAGUCGCGUGAGGGAAUAAGGCCCUACGGGUCGUAAACCUCUUUUGCCGGGGAGCAAGGGCGGGGACGUGUCCCGGCCCGGAGAGUACCCGGAGAAAAAGCAUCGGCUAACUCCGUGCCAGCAGCCGCGGUAAUACGGAGGAUGCGAGCGUUAUCCGGAUUUAUUGGGUUUAAAGGGUGCGUAGGCGGAACAUUAAGUCAGCGGUAAAAUCGAGGGGCUCAACCCCUUUAAGCCGUUGAAACUGGUGAU